UCUACGGUGAUCCCCGAUAGGCCGCACAC
rnacentral:sRNA from 1 species